UUUUCACGUCGGGAAUCGAACCCGUGCCUUCUGGGUGUCUUCCAGAUAUCCAUACACUAGACCACGUGGAA